UACGGAGGGUGCAAGCGUUAAUCGGAAUUACUGGGCGUAAAGCGUGCGUAGGCGGUUCGUUAAGUCUGUUGUGAAAGCCCCGGGCUCAACCUGGGAAUUGCAUUCGAGACUGAAUAGCUAGGGUACGGUAGAGGGAAGUGGAAUUUCCGGUGUAGCGGUGAAAUGCGUAGAUAUCGGAAGGAACAUCAGUGGCGAAAGCGACUUCCUGGACCAGUACCGACGUUCAGGCACGAAAGCGUGGGGAGCAAACAGG
rnacentral:rRNA from 1 species